ACUGGAUACAAUGAAUGAUGAGGAAUUACUGAUAGGAUAUCUGAAGGAGAAGCUGCAGUCAGUUUGAAUUGCAUCCCCAACAAACUCAAUGGUUCAUCAGUUCAAAUGGCAUCCUGACAAGAGAGGGGCAGACAACUUCCUAGUCGACUACUAAAAGCUGCCUAUACAGACUGGAUAGGCAGACAGGAAGCCCGAGGACUCUGCUGCAUUAAGUUCAGGCUCAGUUCCACUAUUACCUGCACUUAAGGAG